rnacentral:lncRNA from 1 species
GUGAUACAUCACGAUUAAAAUUAUAAAUAUAACCAAGUACACAACAACGAAUAACAGAAGAAAAAACAUCUUAAACCUACUAUAAAGUUAAAAGGAGCAAAGAAGUAAUCCCUUGUAUGAAGUUUGUAAGGAUCAUCCUGGGCUUGAGGCAGUGGUAUCAGUUCUACAGAGCUCAACCUGCACAAAUUAGGAUAAUGUUCUAUAUAAACUUCAUCAAAAGGUCGAGCUAAGUGUAUGAAUUGUAAGAGUGAUUUUAUCUCGA